GCCGGAAGUGAUCCCAAGCACUGAAGGCUUCCCUGGGUCACAGAACAACGCAUAACGGAGAGAUGAAUGCCCUCUCCCGUUCCUGGGCGCCCUUCUUGUUGCAGGAUUUUCAUGCCGAAAACACAAAAUUCCAAACUCAUCUACAACCCGAAAGCUCUGAGCUUCGAAUAACUAAACAGUGUCACGAAUAAACGGAAACAACGCAUACGUACGCGCGCUUUAAUCUUUUUCGAGCACCUAAUUUUCCCCCCGACUAUACCCGAGAAAGUGACCGCAGCAUAUCGAAGGAAGUCGAUAUAACAUACUGGCAGGAACCUCCCUUAUCUCCUUAUACAAUGAUAAAAUGGGAAACGAGUAAAAUAUUAAUCAGUUAUAAUAUCUAUAUAAUAAUUUAUUUGUUCGAUUGAAUUCAUAAAUUUAAAAUUGUAUUAAUUUAUUGAUCUUUUCCAGCCGUUUACUUCCACUUUAGAUUAUGUGUUUCUAAAAAUUAAUUUACUGUUUAUUUUGAGUUUCUUCAUCUAAAUAUGACUUCUUAUUCUGAGUUUCUUUAUAAUAUUAGACUGCUAGACUCCUACUCCAUCUGUUGCUUCCGCCUUUCCGGCAGAGCCUUGGUGUGAUAAAAAAUCUACCUGUCCGUGCUUUCUCUCGAUCCAGCCUUACAGCUUUGUGAUGAGGGUGUGUGUUCAGCGCCCUUUGGCUGAUUCGUCCCACUGAAUCUGUCAUCUAUCGAUGCUGCUACUCCUUGCGGCAACCUUCAGUUUAUCUUUUGUCGCCUCGCUUCCGCCCAGGGUGGCGGCGUGGGUCUCCUACCUCUCCCUUACCUGCUCCAUAAGCGGGAGCCCUUCGAGAUCCUCAGGGACAGUCCUGAAGCCAGAGAUGACCCUUAAGGCGACUCUUGAUCGUUUGAACAGCAUCGAUCUUCGCCCAGCUGGCUGAAUUAAGGGCAUUUUGGAAUUCGAGAUGUCGGCGCAAUAUUCCUUCGUGUCCCACCUCCAUUUUACUCCCUCUAUGGCCUUCUAGGCGAUGCUGACAGCCGCCAUGGCGGACACCGUCGAGCGGGCUUUCCGGAAGCCAUAUUGUGCCUCGGAUAGAGCUUCAGUCUCCUCCACAAAGUCAGAGAGUCUGUUGUACACUGUCUGGCAUGAAUGGUGUUUCCGACUGGACUGGGCUAUUGUCAUCUUUCUGUAAGUGCCUGGGGAACAGUGCUGUCACGAUCGUGCUCAGCAGAUCUGGACACGUCAGUGUUGGGGUGCUCAUUCCUCGGACCCUCUUGGUGACUACCUUAUAGGCAGGUACUGUCUAUGUCGAUGUCCGCUUCGUCACAGAUGCGUCGGAAGUUGUCGACCUUCCUAGACAUCCUCUUGCCUAGUUGGGAAGUCGUGGCGGCCUCUGGCUCGUUGGGCGCGGUGCCAAGGGCAAGCUCUUUUCAGCUCACAUAUCUCCUGGGUCUAGUAGCACGGUGUAAGUCGCAAAGGAGGCUUCCGCCUUAGCAUGGACUGAUCGCAUGCGUCGACGAUCCGUUGAGCGCUCACCGCACGGGUAAGUGUUUAUUUUUUUUUUUUUAUUUAUUCGUUUAUUCCGUCAAUCUACUAUUUUUUUUUUUUUUUUUUUUUUUUUUUUUUUUGUAUUUAUUCGUUUAUUCCGUCAAUCUACUAUUUUCUUGCUUUACAAUUUUGUAAAAUUUGUAAAUUACCGCCCAACGUGAGCGGUACUGCCGCAAGGCACUGCUUCGCACGCUCGAAGGCUCCUACUCCAUCACCUGCUUACGCCUUCUCUCCAAAACUCUCAGAGUUCGCAUAACGCUAGAGGCGAACCCUUGGGUCGGCCAGCAUGAUCGGCACCAAGGUCUCGGUAGAGAUCCUGUCGCUUACUACUACCUCCAGGCGGAGACGUUCGUGAUCAAACCUGUGGUACGACCUUGCUGUUUCGACCGCUUUCCGGCUCGAUAUUAGCACCGCUUAGGUCUUCUGCGCUGCCAGGUCCAAUCCGGUGACCGUUAGCCACCACUCCACGGCUCGGACGGCCGCGUUGGCGAGCUCCUCCACUGCGGCGAGGUGCUUGGCUACCACCACGACAUUGUCUGCAAACCCCACCAUGCUGGUGUUGGCUGGCAUCGGUAGUCUCAGGACUCCGUCGUACAUGGCGUUCCAGAGCAGGGGUCCCAAAACGGAGCCCUGAGGGACUCCGGCUGUGACUUUGUAUGCCCUGGAACCCAGACUGGUCUCGUACAUCAGCACCCUGUGUAACGGACACGGGAAGUGUCGUCUCGUCAGCACUCUCUGUCUACUGAAAGUUGCCGGCUAGGCUCAGGGAAAAUGGGGUGGGUGUUGUGCUGCGAAAACGAACUCCUUCACCUAACAAAAUCGUAGACAGAUUCACGGGAACUGGGAUUGGAAUUACAAACCCGGACGGAACUUAAGGUCCACUACCUACUGUGAAGAGCAAGGUGGUUGUUCUCUUCCCUCUUGACCCACCCUCCAUGUAGAAUAACACAAGAAUAUGCCAUUAUGGUUCUACCCAAAACCUGCCGCUGCUGCCUAUGUGCCUUAGGAACCCCUCCCAAAAAUCAGAUUAGAAAUUAAUGUUAAAUCGUUAUAAUUUUACUUUGAAUUGUAUGACUUCAGGUUGUUUGUAACCCCCAUUAUUUCUACCAUAACCCUUAAAACUAUUUUUACUGCAUGUGUAUAUAUAUGUGGGACUAAUUUAAUAAUAGGAAUUCAAGAGAAUGAUCAAAUAUGAAUAAAAAUAAUAUAAUCAAAAUAUAAAGUAAGAAUUAAUUAAUUAAAUGAAUUAAAUGGCAUAAUUUUAGUGAUUAUAGUUAAUAAUAAUUCAUUUUAUAUAUGGUUAAGCAUGAAUGUCUCACUGUGUAGACGCUAUUCUCCUGACCCGGAGUGUAUGUGUGUAUAUGUGUGUCUACUUACAGACCUUUAAACAGCUGUUGGUGUCGUUGGGCCCAAUUUCACGUUCUAACUGUUAAAGAAAUGUAGAAAUAUGCAAAAUAACAAGAAGCGUUUUGAAGAGGUAUUUUACCAAUACCCUUCCAUGGACACAAUGAGACCGAUCUUACACCCUUUUAGAAUCUACUAUUAACUACGCAUAAAUUUCAUGUUUUUCUUCUUCUAUUUCUAAGUUAAUGUCUAGGAAUAUUUAAUAUUAUUGAACAAUUUUCUUUUCUAUUUUUUUUCAUCUAUCCAUGAUUUUUCAUUAAAUUCUCUUUUCUAGAUUUUUGUGAUUUACUUUUCUUCCCUUAAGUGCCUUUUAGAAUGUCUGCAUCGAACAAUUUUAAUAACCUGAGAGAAGGAGAGAAUAGGUGACAUACGGUCAGGUGGGUCUAUUUAAGUGCGCAUAGGUGUAUGGUCAGCCGCAAGGGCAAUGACCGCUGAGCUAAUUUUUCCACACCCUACAUAUGCAAGCACCAACAUUUCUUUACACAAGGCGCGGUGAUAUAAUAUAAUAGAUGGUUUUAUAGUUGCGCGUGAGAUAUAUAUAUAUAAACAACUCGAUAUAUGUAUGAACCAACAACCUGCAGGCAAGGUCCGGUGGCACCAAAAAGAGGGACUGAUGAUCGUGGUACUGGAGCGGACCCCCCCUCCGAGACCGAGGGUCAGGCCAGGUCAGCAAUUUCCUGCCACACGUGGAUCAUAACCUAUGUACAGUACAUACAUGGAAUUAUGUAAUAAGGUCACUUUUUCAUUUUUUUCUUGGCGUACCUUAUCCAGGGGUUGGUUUUUAAGUUUUCGUCUUUGCAGCCACA
rnacentral:lncRNA from 1 species